AGGGCACCACCAGGAGUGGAGCCUGCGGCUUAAUUUGACUCAACACGGGAAAACUCACCCGGCCCGGACACUGGAAGGAUUGACAGAUUGAGAGCUCUUUCUUGAUUCAGUGGGUGGUGGUGCAUGGCCGUUCUUAGUUGGUGGAGUGAUUUGUCUGGUUAAUUCCGAUAACGAACGAGACUCUAGCCUACUAAAUAGAUCGUCGGCUUACAAACGCCGGCGAGACUUCUUAGAGGGACAGGCGGUGAUUCAACCGCACGAAACAGAGCAAUAACAGGUCUGUGAUGCCCUUAGAUGUCCGGGGCCGCACGCGCGCUACACUGAAGUGAUCAGCGUGCUUUUUCAACCUACUCUGUCAAGAGUGGGGAACCCAAUGAACCUUCUUCGUGAUUGGGAUAGGGGAUCGUAAUUAUUCCCCUUGAACGAGGAAUUCCCAGUAAGCGCGAGUCAUAAGCUCGCGUUGAUUACGUCCCUGCCCUUUGUACACACCGCCCGUCGCUACUACCGAUUGAAUGUUUU
rnacentral:rRNA from 1 species